rnacentral:rRNA from 1 species
CCAAGGAGUCUAACAUGUACGCGAGUCAUUGGGACUAGAAAAGCCUAAAGGCGUAAUGAAAGUAAAGGUUCUACUUUAGCUGGAACCGAGGGAGGAUGGCUCGCGUCACGAUGCGAGCCCGCACUCCCGGGGCGUCUCGAGCUCUUGCGUUUCGGCGUACGAGCUGAGGCGCACCAAGAGCGUACACGUUGGGACCCGAAAGAUGGUGAACUAUGCCUGGUCAGGACGAAGUCAGGGGAAACCCUGAUGGAGGUCCGUAGCGAUUCUGACGUGCAAAUCGAUCGUCGGAACUGGGUAUAGGGGCGAAAGACUAAUCGAACCAUC